ACGCAAAAACAAAUUGAAAAGCGCAACAACAAAUUGAAAAGCGCAAAAACAAAUUCACUAAACGCAACAACAAAUUGAAAAGCGCAACAACAAAAGAAGAAUCACAAAAACAAAUUGAGAAGCACAAUUACAUUAAGAAAACCGGAAAGGGUAGGUACCAGUCGGCAACAGGAGACAUCACUGAUUGGAUGUCCGCGCUGUUCGUCUUUGGAACCGGAAGUUACUCUGCCUGUAGCGCAUUAUUUUCAAACGUGAACAUUAGCGGUGACCCAAACAUAGCUGUCACUAUUCGAGAAUAUUUUUGAUUCAGGACAUACAUACGAGGUGAUACUGGAUAUGCUCAAGUGUAAUCGUGACAUUUCAAUUAGUAUGCGUACACUGAAAACACAUUUAAAAGAAUCUGGACUGUACAGACGAGGCAACUAUUCUCCACUUCCUGAGGUGAGGCGUGCCAUUUUGUCCGAGCUUCGAGGACCAGGACAAUUGUUUGGAUAUCGGACCAUGUGGCAAGUUCUCAAACAAAAACACAAGCUGCGUGUCAAGCGUGAUGUAGUUAUGAGGCUGUUGAGACAACUAAAUCCUCAAGGAAUCGCUUUGAGAACUCGAAGGAGGUUCACAAGACGCACGUAUCACUCCAUGGGGCCCAAUUACAUAUGGCAUGUAGAUGGCUAUGAUAAACUGAAACCCUGUCAGGAUGUAUAGAUGGCUUUUCAAGAAGACUGAUGUGGCUUGUGUGUGGAGCAACAAACAACAACCCGGCUGUUAUAGCUCACAAUUAUAUAAACUGUGUAAAGAGUCUUGGUGUGAUACCAAUGAGAUUACGAACAGACUUCGGGACUGAGAAUGGGACUAUGGCAGCAAUACAGUGUACCCUCCGUCACGCGCACACGGACUAUUAUGCUGGAUCGUCAAGCCACAGUUAUGGAUCAUCUACUGGGAAUCAGCGCAUCGAGUCAUGGUGGUCUUAUUUCAGAAGAGGAAGGUGGGUACAUUUGUGUCUGGUAGGUGUAAGCUACAGUGAAAGCUGAUCAGAUUGUUGUUUUUUUUACAUGCAUUUAAGAAAAUAGAGUAGCGUCCUGCUGGACGUGUUGAAAAGUUGGAUGAGAUAGACGUUAACAGCCGUCACUUUAUUGCAGGAACUCAAAAUGGUCAUUGUCAGCUGUUGUGCCGAAAUGAGCAUGCUUGCCUAGAUUUAACGACGCCAAUACAAAAUGAAAAACUCAGACCAAACUCUCCACUCCUCACAAUCAACACACAGAACAGAGUGAAAAGAAUACAGCAUUUUUAACAAGAACAUUACUGCAGGGUCGCUACAAUAUUUAUGGAAAACUAAUAUGCAUUACUUUGUUUGACAUCCAUUUGUGGCAUGUUUUAAAUGGGACCAAAAUGUAACAAACCCUAUAAAAUGACCAAGAACAAAGCUAAAUUGAUUCUUAAAUAUUAAUUAUAUACCCAGGUCUCAGUUUUGGAUGGACUUUUUUGGAGACCUAAGAGACUCUGGAAACUUCAAUGGAAGCCACGAACGCCAAUGCUUGCUGAGAUUCUGCUUCACAGGGGUUCUACAGAAAGACCUGGAUGAAUGCAAAGACCUCUGGAACAAACACAGGAUCCGGCCAAGCAGACUUGCAUCGUGUCCAGGGGGGAUUCCAAACAAACUCUCUCUUGCCUCACAGAUAUGGUUCAAGAGACUGUGGAUUUGCUGUUGAGGAGAGGGAACUGGAUGCGUUUCCCGAGGAGGGGCUACUGGUUGGAUUGUGUGGUGAUCCAAACAUUGGGGAAUAUUUACAACAGGCUGUACAACAAAACACACUGCAGCAGCCACAAGACUGGGAAUCGGCCACAGAACUGUAUUUGGCCCUGAAGGACAUAGCUGGGUUUUAAAUACCAACUGAACUUCAGUUUGUAAUGACAUUUGUCAGAGUUACUCUGACGAAGACACACACGGUGUCAAAACGUUAGUUUCUUUCCUUUUUUUGCACCUAAUAAAACCUUUGGACUUAC